CCUACGGGAGGCAGCAGUGAGGAAUAUUGGUCAAUGGCCGGGAGGCUGAACCAGCCACGUCGCGUGCGUGAAGACGGCCCUACGGGUUGUAAACCUCUUUUUUCAGGGCGCAAGGUGCAGGUCGGGACCUGCUGUGAGAGUCCCUGAAGAAAAAGCCUCGGCUAACUCCGUGCCAGCAGCCGCGGUAAUUCGGAGGAUGCGAGCGUUAUCCGGAUUUAGUGGGUUUAAAGGGUUCGCAGGCGGAGGCACAAGUCAGCGGUAAUAGCGCGGGGCUCAACCCCGCUCAGCCGUUGAAACUGUGUCCCGUGAGUGCGCGAAGGGUAGGCGGAAUGCGGGGUGUAGCGGUGAAAUGCAUAGAUAUCACGCAGAACUCCGAUCGCGAAGGCAGCCUACCGGCGCGCAACUGACGCUCAGGCACGAAAGCGUGGGUAUCGAACAGGAUUAGAUACCCUUGUAGUC
rnacentral:rRNA from 1 species